GGCCUCGUGGCUCAGCUGGUAAAGUGUGCGCUGUACAAAGGCGGAGGCGGGGUCCAUGUGUCGGUUCGAAUCCCACCGAGGCUA
rnacentral:tRNA from 1 species